UACGUAGGGUGCAAGCGUUAUCCGGAAUCAUUGGGCGUAAAGAGCUCGUAGGCGGCUCAACAAGUCGGCUGUGAAAGCCCGAGGCUCAACCCCGGAAUUGCAGUCGAUACUGUUGUGACUCGAGUCCGGUAGAGGAGAAUGGAAUUCCCGGUGUAGCGGUGAAAUGCGCAGAUAUCUGGAGGAACACCAGUAGCGAAGGCGGUUCUCUGGGCCGUCACUGACGCUGAGGAGCGAAAGCGUGGGGAGCAAACAGG
rnacentral:misc_RNA from 1 species